rnacentral:lncRNA from 1 species
UUACUACGACUGUUAACUUUUGUCAUAAAAUUCAAAUAAGAUUUUAUUUCUUGGUAAUUUUGACUUUCACAAUUUAUCUUUAAAUCCUUGAGCAAUCUGUUUACAAUUAAGAGAUUUCUGACAUUUAUUCUUACACUAAGUGGAUACACUCUAGGAUUUAGGCAUGUUAACAAGUAAAAAUGGAGAGGAAAUAGAAAUGUAUUUUUUCAAUUUCAUCAAGUUUAAUGAUUCACCAAUUU